rnacentral:rRNA from 1 species
CGCCCGAAUCGGAUGAACUAAGCCAUGCGAGUCAUUGUAGUAAUACAAGGCAGACGGCUCAGUAACGCGUAGUCAACCUAACCUAUGGACGGGAAUAACCUCGGGAAACUGAGUAUAAUGCCCGAUAGAACAUUAUGCCUGGAAUGGUUUAUGUUCCAAAUGAUUUAUCGCCGUAGGAUGGGACUGCGGCCUAUCAGUUUGUUGGUGAGGUAAUGGCCCACCAAGACUAUUACAGGUACGGGCUCUGAGAGGAGUAGCCCGGAGAUGGGUACUGAGACACGGACCCAGGCCCUAUGGGGCGCAGCAGGCGAGAAAACUUUGCAAUGUGCGAAAGCACGACAAGGUUAAUCCGAGUGGUUUCUGCUAAAGGAACCUUUUGUCGGUCCUAGAAACACCGAUGAAUAAGGGGUGGGCAAGUUCUGGUGUCAGCCGCCGCGGUAAAACCAGCACCUCAAGUGGUCAGGAUGAUUAUUGGGCCUAAAGCAUCCGUAGCCGGCUCUGUUAGUUUUCGGUUAAAUCUGUACGCUCAACGUACAGGCUGCCGGGAAUACUGCAAAGCUAGGGAGUGGGAGAGGUAGACGGUACUCGGUAGGAAGGGGUAAAAUCCUUUGAUCUAUUGAUGACCACCUGUGGCGAAGGCGGUCUACCAGAACACGUCCGACGGUGAGGGAUGAAAGCUGGGGGAGCAAACCGGAUUAGAUACCCGGGUAGUCCCAGCUGUAAACUAUGCAAACUCAGUGAUGCAUUGGCUUGUGGCCAAUGCAGUGCUGCAGGGAAGCCGUUAAGUUUGCCGCCUGGGAAGUACGUACGCAAGUAUGAAACUCAAAUGAAUUGACGGAAU